rnacentral:tRNA from 1 species
UGUAGCUCAGUGGUAGAGCACUUGCUUUGUAUACAUAAGGCACUGGGUUCAAUCCUCAGCA